rnacentral:rRNA from 1 species
CGGCCGCGUCGACAUUCGAUGCAACGCGUAGAACCUUACCUGGGUUUGACAUGGAUCGGGAGUGCUCAGAGAUGGGUGUGCCUCUUUGGGGUCGGUUCACAGGUGGUGCAUGGCUGUCGUCAGCUCGUGUCGUGAGAUGUUGGGUUAAGUCCCGCAACGAGCGCAACCCUUGUUCACUGUUGCCAGCACGUUAUGGUGGGGACUCAGUGGAGACCGCCGGGUCAACUCGGAGGAAGGUGGGGAU